CCUACGGGGAGCAGCAGUGAGGAAUAUUGGUCAAUGGACGAGAGUCUGAACCAGCCAAGUAGCGUGAAGGAUGACUGCCCUAUGGGUUGUAAACUUCUUUUAUAUGGGAAUAAAAUGUUCCACGUGUGGGAUUUUGUAUGUACCAUAUGAAUAAGGAUCGGCUAACUCCGUGCCAGCAGCCGCGGUAAUACGGAGGAUACGAGCGUUAUCCGGAUUUAUUGGGUUUAAAGGGAGCGUAGGUGGAUUGUUAAGUCAGUUGUGAAAGUUUGCGGCUCAACCGUAAAAUUGCAGUUGAAACUGGCAGUCUUGAGUACAGUAGAGGUGGGCGGAAUUCGUGGUGUAGCGGUGAAAUGCUUAGAUAUCACGAAGAACUCCGAUUGCGAAGGCAGUUCACUGGACUGCAACUGACACUGAGGCUCGAAAGUGUGGGUAUCAAACAGGAUUAGAUACCCUGGUAGUC
rnacentral:rRNA from 1 species